rnacentral:rRNA from 1 species
AGUCACUGACAUUAGAUACCCGCGUAGUCCAGGGUGUAAACGCUGCAGACUUGGUGUUGGAAGCCCUUUGGGGGCAUUCAGUGCCGGAGAGAAGUUGUUAAGUCUGCUACUUGGGAGUACGUCCGCAAGGAUGAAACUUAAAGGAAUUGGCGGGGAGCACCGCAACGGGAGGAGCGUGCGGUUUAAUUGGAUUCAACACCGUAAAACUCACCAGGGAAGACUGUUACAUGAAGGCCGAGAUGAAGACUCUGCUAGAUUUUCAG